AUGGCCCAGAGGCUAAGAACUCCGGCGCCGGAGGUGGACGCUUCCGUCGUCUGCGUCAUCUCCUGGGCAGGCAGCGACGGCUUCGACCGCCGGGACUACGAACCGGCCAACGUGCGCAUCGGCCCGUUCCACCGGGAUCCUUCACACCCGACGGAGAACGAGAAGAAGGACGCGCUCCACCGAUUGCUCCCGCACGACGACGAGCGGCGUGCAGAGGAUCUCAACCAUUACCUGCACCAGAUGGCUCGCGUCGUGCCCCGCGCAAGGGGGUGCUACAGCCGAUGGUUCAGCACGAUCGACACGGAGGAGUUCAAGUGCAUGCUGCUGGUGGACGGAUGCUUCCUGCACUCGCGCUUCGUCCCCAGCAGAGCAGCACCAGCGCCCGUCAACGACGACAUCACGGUCGACCGCGACAUCGUCUUCCUCCUCGAGAACCAGCUGCCCUUCUUCGUCCUGGUGGAGGUCCAGAAGCUAAUCAGGGCUGAUGCCGAGGAUAGCUAUUCCGUUGUCGUCGACAACGUCCUAGGGCGCAUCCAAGCGCUGGUCCGGCUUAACGAGUACAGCGCCGUCACGGUGCCCCGCCCCACCACUCCUCCUUGCCACCUUCUUCACCUGCUCUACAUGUACUUCCGGCCUACAGCCCUGCCCCUGAACGACGCCCCGGCUCCGGCUAUUCCUCGGACGAGGACCAAUGAGGCCAUCCCCCCACCACCACCUGGGGCCCCCGUGCGCCAGACGCGUUGGCGCGCGGCGACGUACUACCACACAGCCGGCGUGAGGUUCAUGGCGCGGAAGGUUGGCAGCGGCGACGGCGAGGCGCGAUCCAUCCUGGACGUGGGGCGGAGAGGAGACUGGCUCCACAUCCCUGUUCUGGCGAUCGACAACAACACGUUCCGGAUGCUGCGCAACAUGGUGGCACUGGAGCAGAACAGCCCGCAGCUUCGCAGCUCCCACGUCACGGCCUACUGCCUCUUCAUGUCGCAGCUGGCCAGCACCAAGGAAGACGUGGAGCUCCUCGUCGCCAAAGGGGUCAUCGUGCACCUGCUCCACAGCGCCGACGAUGUCGCGGCGAACCUGGCCGGGCUCUGCGACGGCGUUGUCCUCGACGCGUACGACCGGCACUUGUGCUACCUCAGGGCGGAGCAUGCGGCGCUCGAGGAGGUCUGCCGGGACGGCUGGAAGAAGUCCAAGGCGUGGCUGCGGCACACCAAGUGCAACAACUAUUUGAUGGGGCUGGCCGUCCUCGCCGGUGCCGGCCUCUUCUUUUGCACGGUCGAGCAAUCGGUCUUUGCUGCGCUAAGCUAUUUUCAAGAGAAAAAAUAA
rnacentral:rRNA from 1 species